GCGCCUGUACUCCAAUUGGCAGAGAGACUGGUCCUAGGAACCAGCUGUUGUCGGUUCGAAUCCGACCGGGCGCA
rnacentral:tRNA from 1 species